rnacentral:tRNA from 1 species
UCACUGGGCUCAGUGGUAGAGUGCUUGCCUAGCACACGUGAGGCCCUGGGUUCGAUCCUCAGCACCACUUAA